GCUGCCCCAGAGACCUCGCAGGUGUGGCUGCUGUGUCACAUGUGCAUCGGUAGGUGGCAGAGUAUAGAGAGCUAUGCUCAGUGUUCCUAUCCAUGAACACCGGAAUGAUUAGUGGUAGCCUAGCAUU